UACAGAGGGUGCGAGCGUUAAUCGGAUUUACUGGGCGUAAAGGGCGCGUAGGUGGUAAAGCAAGUAAGAUGUGAAAGCCCCGGGCUUAACCUGGGAAGUGCAUCUUAAACUGCUUAACUAGAGUAUGGUAGAGGGUAGUGGAAUUUCCGGUGUAGCGGUGAAAUGCGUAGAUAUCGGAAGGAACGCCAGUGGUGAAGACGACUACCUGGAUCAAUACUGACACUGAGGCGCGAAAGCGUGGGGAUCAAACAGG
rnacentral:rRNA from 1 species